GGGGGGGAGGCGCAGCAUGGCGGCCCGCACAGCGUGGCCGGCAGCCGCGGCCGGAGGAAUCCUGGCUACACCACUGUAUCAGAGAAAGGGCUACUACUCAUCAAAAAAGAAUCUGGUAAUUAAAGGCCAUUAGGAGCCCAAAAGUGAAGUUUGCAAGGUGUACCUACCUAUCAAGCAUACUCCAAGUAUAUUUACAACGACCAACAAUAAAAUCAUCAACACACAAACAUCAUCAACAAUAAAAUCAGCAGCAGCCAAACAAAUGCUAAGGAAACAAAAUACUGUAACUCAAUCAACCAAAAAGCAUCAAAACCCUUUAAAGAAACCUCUCAGAAAAAGCCUGGAUUAAGACCUCUCUCUUUAAGUGCUUGCUG